UCCUAAAACGAUACUCUUAGUCCCUUCUCAGGAAACAGGAACUUUCUAUGAGCCAGCCACCACCACACGUGCUGUACUGGAGAUGCAGGCAAAAUGGCUGCUUAUGGACACCCAGCGCCGAGGACUGCCUUGCAGGCGUAGGAGCUGGAGCUCUCCUCCUUGUUGGAGUGGCUCCAGCGGGCCUCCUCCAGGCUUGGCGCCAGCUCUCCAGCAGAUGAAGAGGCUGCGCUGAAGCACACAGUGCAGUUUCUGCACAAGGACAUGGCUGACUUGAAGCGGCUCCUGGAAGGCAUCCGUGCUAAGGCCACAGUGUCCACAGGAACAGGCAUCACUGAUUAGGUCCCGCCUGGACCUGGGCAGGGCCCAGUACCGGUUCCUGGCUCUGGAGGUCUUGUUCUCUGGGUCUGGGGCAGCAAGCUGAGAGGGCAAGGGCGUGGGUGGAAUGCAUAGCGCUGGAGGAAGUUCUGUGCCUGUCAGUGCCCGGCUCCCUGCCAAAGUCGGAGGAAGCUGCCGAGCUUACUGGGUCCACCUUUUACCUCUUCUGGCUCCUCAUAGGGUGCCCUCUGCACAGGGAAGUGGGCUUGAGGCCAUGAAGUCCAUGGUGUAAAGUCCUGUUUGGGACUCCAGACUGUCAACAGCUUUGAUUAUUUUGGCUGCAAUUAGAAAGUAGGUACAUUUCACUUCCGGGGGUGUGGGAGUGGGGGGUGGGGGGUGGGCACACUUCUUUCCACAUUGUGAUUUCUCUCUCCAUAAGGAUCACCUAGGGGUAACUGAUAUUUAAGGCCUCUUCCUUUGCUGGGGGAAACCUACUUAUUAAGAAGUGGGCUGCUUCCUUCUAACUCCCAACCUUCAGACAGGGUUUCUCUUUGUAGCCCAGGCUGUCCUGGAAUUAGCCUCUAACUCACAGAGAUCCACCUGCCUCUGCUUCCCAAGCGCUGGGAUUAAAGGUGUGAGCCCAUACUGCCUGGCUUCUUAUUGUUUCUUUUGUUUGUGUUUGGUUUUGGUUUUUCCAGAUGGUUUCUCUGUGUAGCCCUGGCUGUCCUGGAACUCACUCUGUAGACCAGGCUAGCCUCGAACUCAGAAAUGCGCCUGCCUCUGCCUCCCAAGUGC
rnacentral:lncRNA from 1 species